UACGGAAGGCAGCAGUGGGGAAUAUUGCACAAUGGGCGAAAGCCUGAUGCAGCUAUGCCGCGUGUAUGAAGAAGGCCUUAGGGUUGUAAAGUACUUUCAUCGGGGAGGAAAAAACAAAACUAAUAAUUUUAUUUCUUGACGUUACCCGAAAAAGAAGCACCGGCUAACUCCGUGCCAGCAGCCGCGGUAAUACGGAGGGUGCUAGCGUUAAUCAGAAUUACUGGGCGUAAAGAGCACGUAGGUGGUUUUUUUAAGUCAGAUGUGAAAUCCCUGGGCUUAACCUAGGAACUGCAUUUUGAAACUGAAAUACUAGAGUAUCGUAGAGGGAGGUAGAAUUCUAGGUGUAGCGGUGAAAUGCGUAGAUAUCUGGAGGAAUCCUGUGGCGAAAGCGGCCUCCUAAACGAAUACUGACACUGAGGUGCGAAAGCGUGGGGAGC
rnacentral:rRNA from 1 species